AUUGAACGCUGGCGGCAUGCUUUACACAUGCCAGUCGAACGGCAGCGCGGUCUUCGGCCUGGCGGCGAGUGGCGAACGGGUGAGUAAUGCAUCGGAACGUGCCCAGUAGUGGGGGAUAGCCCGGCGAAAGCCGGAUUAAUACCGCAUACGACCUGAGGGUGAAAGCGGGGGACCGAAAGGCCUCGCGCUAUUGGAGCGGCCGAUGUCGGAGUAGCUAGUUGGUUGGGUAAAGGCUUACCAAGGCGCCGAUCCGUAGCUGGUCUGAGAGGAUGACCAGCCACACUGGAAAUGAGACACGGGCCAGAGUCCUACGGGAGGGCGCAUGGGGGAAGGUGGGACAAUGGGGGCAAGCCGGAUCCAGCCAUACCGCGGGGGUAAAGAAGGCGUUCGGGUUGGAAAGCCCGUUGGUUGGGAAAGAAAAGCAGCAGGUGAAUACCCCGCUGUUCUGACGGGACCCAAAGAAUAAGCACCGGCUAACUUCGUG
rnacentral:rRNA from 1 species